rnacentral:rRNA from 1 species
GACGAACGCUGGCGGCGUGCUUAACACAUGCAAGUCGAACGGAAAGGCCUGCUUUCCCUUGUGGAUUGCGGGUACUCGAGUGGCGAACGGGUGAGUAACACGUGAGUGAUCUGCCCCCAACUUGGGUAUAAGCCUGGGAAACUGGGUCUAAUUCCCGAUAGGACUGCAGGGUGGUGCCUGUGGUGGAAAACGAUUUUCUAGUGGUUGGGGAUGAGCUCGCGGCCUAUCAGCUUGUUGGUGGGGUAAUGGCCUACCAAGGCGGCGACGGGUAGCCGGCCUGAGAGGGUGGACGGCCACAUUGGGACUGAGAUACGGCCCAGACUCCUACGGGAGGCAGCAGUGGGGAAUAUUACACAAUGGGCGGAAGCUUGAUGCAGCGACGCCGCGUGGGGGAUGACGGCCUUCGGGUUGUAAACUCCUUUCGACCGCGAGGAAGCCACCUGGUUGGAAGGGUGGUGACGGUAGUGGUAGAAGAAGCACCGGCUAACUACGUG